CCAGUCAGUAACCUUAAACUAAUAAUUUGUCCCUGUGUGUCUGCAAACAUCUUCAAAGGCAGUGAUGGCAUUUAAAUGGUGUUUUGUGAAUUAAAUGAAUCAGCAUCAUCUAGCUUAGUUCUGUGAUAUGGUUUCAACUACGAUCAGCGAGACCUAGAUCAUGUUUGUAGAGGGAAAGGCCCAAACGCAGACUCACAGGCAGGUGAAUAUUAAUAACCAACAAUGCAUUUAUUAAGGCUGAUGUCCGUGGUACAGAACUAAGAUGAAAACAGAAUGUGAAAGGCAACAAAGAAACCUUUAUAACCAAAACCUAGACUGGGAACGAACACUAGGCACUGGGGACACCGGCCUCAGAUGUCAUCAGGCCAUUCAGUGGGCGUUAUAAGCAGAAAUCAGCACCAUAGAUAUGGGCCAGCAGGGGCCAUCUCCACCUGCUAGAUUGUUCAGAAGGUUGUUAUCAUCCAUCCAGAUGGAGGAUCACUAACAGGAGCGUGGAAGACUCCAGAAUCCACUCUGGCUGGAAUCCUGUGAUACAGCAGUGUUUACAGAUUUCAGAGGAGCACUUUUAAAGUAUCCUUAAUAAUUUCAAGCAGAACUGGAUUGGAAACCAAAAAAAGCUUUUUCUGAGCCAUGAGAGCUGACGGGAUACAACUUUUUAAAAUCAGAAACAAAGGUACAGUGAAUGAUAUUAACGGCAGGGAAACAACACUGGGGGAAGACAAGAAGGAGAAGUGUUUCCAGGAGGAAGCUGCAGUGAGGACACACUGAGUUCCUGGUGAAUCACAGCAGAACCAUAAAGGCUGCUGGACUGCAGGACGGCUUAGCCCUGAGAAGCCAUCCAGUUACAGGAGGAGCAGAUCAAAGAGAAUCGUGAUGUUUCUGCUUCCAUUUUGAUUCCAAGAAGAAGAACGCUUCAAAGAAGUGGCGUUCAUGGUCCACAGUGUGACGAUCGUGGCCACACACUGCAUGUGCUUUUUAAAGCAACAUGUUUCUUCACUUCAAAAACUUUGACAUAUGCCUUGUUGUUUGGAUAUGUGUAAUAUUAGUGAAUGUUAGGGUUUGUUACUGAAAAUUGUUCACGUCUGUUUUGUAUUUUGAUGAUCGCAGCAAAGAUACUGUUUUAAAAAGUUUUGUUUUCAGAGCCUUUCUUUAAAAUCCUGAGCCUGUAGUUUUACAUGAAUGUUACGUUUUCAUUUCUGAUCUUGUAAUGCUUGCACUACACUGUGCACGUCUGCAUUAGAGACAUCUUAGUUACCUAUUUGUGAGACUGAGCUGCUUGACUAUUAUUUGGAAGUGUAUGUAAAAAGCAUGAUAUCGUUUCUUUUUUAAUGUGAUGGACUGAACUCAGGAGGUAUCUGCUUUUGACCAAAGAUUAAUCUGAUCUCAUUUCUACCUGUAUCUACUGUUUCAAGAUUUAGCUGAAGUUUGCUCAACUUUAAUUGUUUAUUCCAGCUCUCAUAGUGCAGCCAUGAGACAGACCUAUUAAACUCAAUGCACGAUGUAAAGUUCAUAAUUCUCUGACAAAUAAAACUGUAAU